AGUCCGUUAUCAAAAGCGCUGUAACGGCCCGUACGAAACCGUUACCCAUCAAUCCCAAAAGCGGGUUGUACCUCUUGCUCACCUCCGACGAUGUGUACGUCGAAGAUUUUUGCGGCCAAGUCUGUGGGUUCCAUUACUUCACGUUCCCCUCAAUCGUGGGGUACACGCUCCCGUACGCAUGGGUGGGUAACUCCGCCAAGCUUUGCCCAGGAGUAUGCGCUUACCCUUUUGCCGUACCUCAAUACAUGCCGGGGUUGAAGCCGUUAAAGUCACCCAACGGUGACGUUGGAGUUGACGGGAUGAUAAGUGUGAUCGGACACGAAGUCGCCGAAUUAGCAACCAACCCACUGGUUAACGCUUGGUACGCCGGUCAAGACCCGGUGGCU
rnacentral:lncRNA from 1 species